CUCCAACGGUUGUGCAGGGCAAGACAAUGGUCCGCGGCCUCAGCUGAAGUCACGCCAGGCUGCAAAUUGCCGCUUCUGGAUGCGGUAAGCAGCCAUUUUCAAUAAAAAUUAGCAGGAGUCAUAUCUGAAUGAAUGAUCCUGAGGGGAACGAUUGCAGAGAUAUUCACUCAGUUUUUAUGCCUCUAACAGAAUUAGUAACUCUUGCCAUACAAAACUUUUCUGAGCGUGGGAGAGUGUGAAUCUUUCCAGCUCUUAGAAAUGAAUGUUUUUGGCACAGAUCACUAUAAUGAAAUCUUCCGAAAAAUUCAACUUCCCACAGCUUAUGACUGAACUCAUAUCUCAUUUUCAUAGAAUAGCAAACGUAACAUAGGGGAAUCUGUCCAUGUGAAAAUUUCACACAUGUACCGGACACAAAUGGUAGCCCUUUUUUAAAAAAACAACAACACCCACACCCACACCCACAAAAUAGAAUAAGAUGCCCAAACAAUAAAUGGACCUCAAAAUGUCAUUGCUUUUUUUCCAAUGACCAAUGAGAUUAAGGGACAUCCUGUACAUUCAGUUAUAUCUGUGCAAAAAUAAUAACAUUAAAUUAAAAUCCUAAUCAGUGAAAGAUCUCAAAUAAUGGCUUGCAACCUGCACUGUAAUUAGGCUACAAGCAGAGCAUUCUUGCAAAUAAUAUAGUACAUACUAAAACUGAAUGGCUCUAGAAUGUUAAUUGUGCUCUCUCCUAUGUUACAAAGAAAGAGCUAAUGUCAGGGAUCUGAAACAAAUAGUACUUAACCUUCUGAGCCCCAGAUGAAAAGGGAGAUGGAUGUUUGCUUUUGAUUGUCCUGGUCUUUUCAUGAGCUGAAUCAAUAAGUACCCCUUUAUAGCUUUGAGUCAUGAUUCUAAUUAGUCAGCCUCUUGGGCCCAGUUUACAAAGUAAAAUCUAAGUCCAACGUGCGUUUGGAAAUUUCAACAAGUAAUCUGAACCCAUGCCAGCUCAAUAAAAUAAUUAAAAUGCCAUCAGCCUGUUAACAUGCUUUCCACUCUGCCAAAACACACACACACACAUACACACACAUCUACACAAACAUACAUAUAUAUAUAUAUAUAUACUCUCAAAUGUCAAACUGCACUUGAAAUUAUGAGGGGGGAAAUGUAUUUUGAAGUUCUUCUGGCUGAGAGAAAUUGUCAGAUUUGAAAUACAGAUGGAGACUCAUGGGAAGGCUUGCGAACAGUUCUGCAGACAUGAGAUUGUUAUUCUUCUGGAGUCACGAUGUCACAAACCUACCUCUAAGGCAGGGAUGAGGAACCUGUGGCCUUGGCAGAUGCUGACGGACUCCAACUCCCAUCAGCACCAGUCUGUGAGACCAAUGGGUGGGAACAAUGGGAACUGGAGUCCAAAAACAUCAGGAGGGCCGCGGGCUCCCCAUCUCUUAUUGUGGCCAUGCCAGCUGCGGCUGGUGGGGAUCAUAAUCCAAAAUGUCUGGUGAGCACCAGAUUGGCAAAGGUUGCUCUGUGCAUCCCAGGACAGUGAAGCAGGGGUGGCUGAACUAUCAUUUGCAGAGUCAGGCAUUUCAGUCGAGGACAGCUAAUGGAACAGACAGUCACUGGAGCAAAGCAGCACCCUCAGACGGGAGAUGAGGAAGGGCCACUAAACCCAUAUGUGCAUAUGUUCAAUCAAAAAUAAAAUAAAUACAAGAGAGUUCAAUUGUUUUAUUCCAGUUUUUCACCGUUGGCUUCCAAAGGGCCAUUUUGCCUCAGGAGAAGGGAAAAGAAGUAGUUUGAUGAGCCUUCAUCAUCCAGCUCCCAGUAGCAGCCCUACAACGGCCCCGCAGAAGCUUCUGAGGUACCAUCUUUCCCUCAGAGGAGGGAAGAAGAAAGAAAUAACCUGGUGAGUUGGUGUCAUCCAACUCUCAGGGGUGUUUUUUCUCUCCUCCAAGAGCCACCAGAGAACCAUCUUGCUAUGAGGGGAACAAACAAAAGAGCGAGCAAAUCAACUAUCACAGACUGCUAAACCCUUAAUACCUUUGGCAAUUAGGAAUGAUUCCCCUUCAAAAUGAGAUUCAUCCCCCCCCCCACCAUGUAAACAUAUACAUAAAAUAUCAGCAACCUUUCCUAGUCCCUUUCCAGAGUUCUCAAAGAGCUGCAUCAUUUUAUUUUGGCCAGAACUGCAGUUUGGUCAUUGCUGUAUCAAUCAAUAUAUGCAGAUAAAUAUGAGUGACCCAGUUUGAUGUACUAGCAGCUAAACUUAAGAAAAGAUUUUGUGGACAAUUGUGCAGGGGGUGGAAAGAUAUCUGGAAUAUCCAGGUCAUUUCCCCCCUCCUCCCCUCCUACUACACCACCAUCUUCCUCUGACACCAAGCUGCCAUUAUUGUGGUUUUAUGUGCUUAUCCAUUUAUCUCUCAGAUUGUGAAGGCAUAGCACUUUAUUGUAAUAUAAAAUGCCUAACAAUACAGAAUCUUUAAAUAGACCAUCUAUCUACUGUAUACUGAGAGAGACAAGAAUAGUCUACCUGCGGAUUUUACUCAAAUGCAAAAUUUGCAUAAACCUGGAAUAAGAAUUAUAGUCCCUAUAAAAUCUUGUUAUUCAGCUCUAUAAAGUUUUGAUGAGAAUAGACUUAAGCCCAGGCAUAACUUGGGCACACAAAUGCACAGAUUAUUUGGUCUAAAAUUGUGCAUUGCGUACACAAGAUACACUGUGGCACCUGUCUAUAGGACUGCAGCUGGAAAUGCAUCUUAAAGGUGUCAUAUAUUCAGGUCCUUAUUUUGCAGGGGGGGGGGGGUUAGCAUCCCUGCUGCUAUGCAGGGACUCUGUGUGCAUUUUUGUCCUGUGAACCCUGACCCCCUUCUCAGAUAACCACCUGAGAGACCACAGCAAACUUCUGUUCAGUGUUGCACCAGCACAUCACACAAACACUUCAAAGGUUCAAGGUCAAUAGCGACUGCUGUCCUACUACAAGCUUUUCAAUCUUCCGCUUGGGAAUUCACCUAUUAAGCUUCCCUAGCCCAUAAAUUGUCCUUGUUGUUAGGAUGCCAGACAAGCACCCAGGAGUCGACCUGCAACGAGGGCAAUCCAAAUUGCAAACCGGGGGGGGGGGGGAUUAAGCAAAAGGAGGCUCUUAAUGCUAGAAUUCUGCAUCAUGCCCCCAUCCCCCACCCCGAAACCCUGAUUGGAUCUGGAGAAGCUUCGGUGCUUGGUGUUUUGAAAUAAUUAUAGAGACCUGGUGUGUAAAUGUCAAAAUGAAUGAAAUUUAGCAGAAAAUGUAGGAGAAAUGGCCAGAUCUCCCUAUUAGCCCUUGCUGUACAUCUCACAAGACAGCUGAUUCCCAGCUCCGUAUGGGUUCCAGCAUCCAGUGAUUUAUUGGGUAAUUCAGCAUUUGCCAGUAUGUCUUGUGCUAAUUAAAUGCAUCGCACUCCAUUCAGAAAUGUCACAAUUGAUUUGUCUUCUGCAAGCACUGACUUUAUUUCAAUCUUCUAAAAAAGAUUUUAUGAGCCCCAGAUAACUUAUCCUGGCACAUUCAUCUCCCUGGGGCAGCUUCUGUGUGUGAGGCCAGGAUGAGACAAAACCAAACAGCCAAUGCAGACGUCUUUUUGGACAGCUUGUUUAUCCGUUAGAUGUUGCACACCCAGGCCGAUAUAUACCAUAUAUGCAUUGCAACUUUUUAAUGUAUUUAUAAAUAUAUAAUAACCCUUAAAAACUGUCAAACGGGACAGAAGUUAACACACGCUAUCAACGGAUUUUAUUGGCUGGCGGAGUUGGCAAACAGGGCAGCUUGCAAUCUGUACAAAAUGUGUUUUAUUUAUUAACUGUGUUAGGAUUUAAUCUGGCUGUUAAUUAAACAAUACAAAUUCCGACGCUGGCAGAAAUCCACUGGGAAGCUUCCCAUUCCAAGACCCGUUGCAAGAACAUGCAAGAACAUUGUUUGACCUGUGCGAGAACAUUGUUUGAAGAACCAUCUGUGCUAAUAUGAAUCUGUCCAUGAUUUAAGAUUGCCAUCAGAGGACUGGCAUGUUGGUGUCCCUUUAAGAUUCUGUCAGGCUAUUGGCAGGAGAGCAGGAGGGGGGAGAGGCCUGAGACUGCAAAGCUUCUAUAUUUGCUGGGCUGAGAGACCAGCUCUAUCAAGCUCCUCCCUCAACUUCCAUCAUUAGCCACUCCCUCAGGCCAGUAGUGGUUGGUGGAGCAGGGCAGAUGGGGCGGCGAUGAUCAUCUGCCUUCUGAGCAUUAAUCUUCGGCUGGUUCCUGAAGGGUGGGGAGAAGUAGGGAGUCAGGCAUGGUGCUGGUGCGGCCGGAGAGUCAGAUUAGCUCUGCUGCCGCCCUUGCACUGGGCUUCCUGUAGCUCCCAGUAACUGGGACUCAUGCUCAGUGUUUGGAAGUCAGGUGAGCAACACAGCCCUGUCUGCACCACCCCAUCGACUGCUACUGCAUCAGAUUACUGGAGAGGGAAAGCGGUGGGAUUUCAGGGCAUCUCCAUCAAAUUCAAUCCAUCGCCAUCUGCUCUGCUAAAAGACGAGCAGCUUUUGGCCCCACCUCUUGCUGAAAUCUUUCCAUUUCAGCUGCCGAUUGCCAAGAUAUAAUGUCUGAAUGUGCUUCCCCCCUCCCAAUUCCUUUUCCUUUUAUGUCAUUUCUUUAUUGUAAGCCUAAGGACAGGGACUCCCAUAUCAUUGGCAUUUGUAACCACUCUGGGAGCUUUUUUUUUAACGGAAGGGUGGGACAAAAUGUUUUUAAUGAAUGCCUUUAUAAGAUCAGUUGGAUUGGCAGGCUCUGGGGACAGGGCCUUCUUAGUAAUAGGUCCUAAUUUACAGAAUUCUCUCUCAAGGGAUGUGAGGUUGGUUCCCUCUUUUGCAAUAUUUAAACAGGCUUUAAAAACCUACCCAUUUCAUAUGGCUUUUAAUUGAUGUGUGAUAGGCCCAGAGAAGUGGAUUUUUUUUAAAAAAAAGAAAUAAAAGAAAUAAAAAGAAAUAAAGAACUCCCUUGAGUGUUAAGCAGCUCCCAUUCAUUUCAAUUGAGUUUGCACAGGGGGUUCUGCUCCAUAAGAAUGGCAAACCUCAAAAUCCAAUGGCCAAGCACAUUCAGCGUUUUGUUUGUUUUAUUUGUUAGUGAAAUAGCCUGUAGGUUCAGAAACAGGGUGUCAUUUUAGAUUUUAAGGUAGAGGGAGACACCACAAGACAUCAUUCAAGGUUGCAUUGCAACCCUCCCCCAGAAAUAAUUUUUAAAAUCCCCAAAUCCCAAAUUUUAAGACCAUUUGUUGUGGUUAUAUUUUAUGACAUAAGUCAUAAAACACUGGGUUGGAUUCAGAUUAGUAGUUUCACUUAGUUCCCUGUGAAAUCAAUGGGUGUUAAGCUAGUCAUGGUUACUUUUUCAAUGGGACCUAAGUGCAACUAAAUUAUUAUGGAUCCAGUCCAUUUCAACACAGGACAAACAAUCACACACACACACACACACACACACACACACUGCUCUUUAAUAAACUAGAAUAAAGGAAACGCUGCAGGAUUAGUCUUUGCUUACCUGGUAGAGAAGAGAAGGCCCAUGCAAUUGCUUAUAAGAAAGGUCACUUGGGGUCAAAAUGCACAUGGCAAUGGAGAUUUGUGAUCAGAUCUCACAACAUCUUUUACUUAACUGAGUUCAGUGGAGCUUACACCCAGGGAAGUAUACUCCUAAAUUGCUGAAACUGCUCUCUCUGUCCCCACCCCCAAUGAAUGGGGUGGUGAAUGUGAGUGUGAGAUGGUGAUGAUAUGGGCAUCUUAAACUUAUGCACAUGAAAAAGCAUCUCUGGAUUGAAGGUGUAGAUUCAUGCUGAAGAUUCAAAAUUUGGUGUGGAUGAGAUAUACAAUCAUGCUUUCUAAAAAUUUGUGGCAUGGAAAUGACAAUCGAAGCAUGCUUGUUUGAUCCAUAGGAAAUUUCGAUUUUUCUUUGGUCUCUCAUUGUGAAAACAAUUGUGUCCCCAUUGGGUAGCAUGCUCCUUAACAUUUCCAUAGAAAGACCAUGAAAUCGCUGUAUGUUUCAUCAAGCAGAAUGUGCUAGUUAGGCAUUGCGUUUCAGUGAGGGUAUAUACAUUUGCAGCAAAGCUCAUGGUCAGUUCUGAAGCAGAGGCUGGUUUACUGUUAAAUGUUGCUUUUAGCAUGGUUUAGCUUAUGCAAAAGACAUGUAAGGUCACUGGCAGUGACAGAGGACAAGGCGAGUGGUUCAGCAGGAAUAAACCCCGCAGGUUGUUUUCAGUCCACAGAACAACAACAACAAAUCCUGCUCUUGCAAACUGGACUGGUAGAAAUCCAUUGGUGAGGGUAUUGGGAGAGAGAACCAAGCUUGUCUUUAAUAGCAGCCUUAGGAAACAAAAGCAAUAUUUGUACAAUUCAUUUAGGCUUGAGAGAUCCUGAUUUCCACCACCAUGAGCUACGUGCAAAAGACAUACACUUAAGACCCUUUUAGAUGCCACCAUUGGUAGCCCAUGAAGGGGGUAUGGGGACAAGCACACUGGUUCCAUUUAAAUCACCCUCCAAUUUGUGGAAGGCAAUCAUCUGAAAUGGGCAGGGACUUCUGUAUGUGUGCAUUCUUGUUCUCUCUUGUAUAAUGGACUCAGCGAUGCUGAGAUGAGCAAAGGAGAGGUUCAGUGGUACCUUGGGCAGCGAUCCUCUAGACAGCCCCGUGCAGAGCUCAGACUGGAUCCACCAAAGGAGUGGUGCUCAUAUGAUGUCUCGGCAGCAGCCAGCCUCAGAAUGAGCCUUAAAUAGAAGCUGCAGCGCUACCUCGUUUGCUCUUGCCUUCAUCGAGAAGAACCUCUUCAUCUAAAGGGCCUACUUGAGCAAUUGUUGACUCUAAUGGACCAGAGCAGACUGUGAUUCCAUUAACAUUUCUGGAGUCCUUUGAGUCAGAGGAGGGCAACACAAUGUCCUUGGGCUGGAGCCUCCUCUAACACAAGUGGUUAGGGUUCAUUAUGUACUUCCGGGGCUGGCUCCAAGAGUAAUUCUCUCCCCCACUCCAAAUCCCCAGCUUCGUCCUCUAAGGAGGAGACAGAUUCAGUGUGAUGACAGUUUCCACUGAUGCAUUUCCUCUCUGUUUUUUGUGUGUUGUUGUUGUUGUUGUUUUGCAGAUCUGUAACUAAGCCUCCUAGAAGGUGCCUAUAAUUUUGAAGGCUCUGAAGCACCAGAGUUGUGUCACUGCAUUUUCCCUUUCCAUUCAGGCAGGAGCCUUCUUGUUCACUUCCCCUGACUGGCAUACCUUAAAUUUUGCACUACAGAAGUCAGAGAAGGAGGUGGGCUAUAAGCUGGAGGAACCACCUGAAGUUUCACCUUGUUCCUCAGGGCAUAAAAUACUGUAGAACGUGAGACACUUAAUCUCAGGGUUGUGGGUUCCAACUUCAUAUUGGGCAAAAGAUUCUUGCAUUGCAGAGGAUUGGACUAGGAUCAGGGUUUCUCAAAGUUGGGUCUCCAGCUGUUUUGGGGCUGCAACUCCCAUCAUCCCUAGCUUGUAGGAUCAGUGGUCAGAGAUGAUGAGCUAGAUGACCCUUGUGGUCCCUUCCAACUCUACGAUCCUAUGAUUCUGCCUGUAGGUACAUUUUCUGGGUGAAGACCUGCUAUUCUUUUAUUCAACUGGUUAGCAUAGCAUAAAUGCAGAAUAAAUACUCUUAGCCAAUUACUUGCUUUUCUAAAGUUCUGGAGCUUUUCCUACCAGCUGUCAUUUUGAGUAAGCCUGUGCUGGGCAGGAAAAAGGAGGUGGCACUUAUAAGCUUCAAGCCUAUUGCCUUUGAUAAAGGCCACGGAAUCUAUGGAACUAUAGAAGUUCAAACAGAUAAGCCUUCGUGUGUGCCAGAUUCCCCUUAAACCAUGGGGAAUAUUAAUAGCAAUAGCCUCUUGCCUAUGCAUGAAGCUGCUAGCAAGGAUCUCAUUAAAGAAGCAGCUCACAUGACUACUUUGGUUGUUCCAACACUGUCCUCCAGAUAUGGUACCAAUUUUAUUCUUGCCAGGGAACUGUUGCCUUUAACUGCUUCAUGACACAAGCAGAAAAUCAAGAGGAAGAGCUUUGCCGUUGCUGUGUCACAACGAUACUGAGGUUAUGUGCCAAAAUCUGUCCUCCAAUUUCUUCCCCUGUGAAAAAAACUUCAAUUUUUCUACCUCAUUCUCAGGGUACUUCAGAUUUUCUUUAGGAUUUUGAUAGGUGUGGAGUUUUGAACUUACCUAACAUCAAAAGGGGGCUAAGGCUGGUGGGUGGGUGGGAUUUUCUUUACACAAAACAUCUUCAUGUGGUGUCAUGAAGCCAGUGUGGUGUAGUGAUUAAGAGUGGUAGCCUCGUAAUAUGGUGAACCGGGUUCGCGUCUCCGCUCCUCCACAUGCAGCUGCUGGGUGACCUUGGGCUAGUCACGCUUCUCUCAGCCCCAUUCACCUAACAGAGUGUUUGUUGUGGGGGAGGAAGGGAAAGGAGAAUGUUAGCCACUUUGAGACUCCUUCGGGUAGUGAUAAAGCAGGGUAUCAAAUCCAAACUCCUCUUCUUCUUCUUCUUCUUCUUCUUCUUCUUCUUCUUCUUCUUCAUUAUUUUGCAGCCCACACUGCCUGAUCUAGAUUUGAUUGCUAGGGCAAAUGGGCAGAGCAACUCAAAAUCAUGGGUGGUCACCUGCAAUCUUUUAAAAGGCUUCUUGUGUUUUAUUCUCGAAUAUAUCUUUGUAUUAUACUGCACCACUUUAUUUUGUAAGCCACAAGUUGCAUAAGGCAAUGAAUAAAUAGAAGUAAUAAGGAAGAAUACUGAAAUGCCUCUCUCGUAAUACAGCCUGGUCUCAUCCAAAGAAUGAGGCUGAAUGCUUGGAGAUUCAGGAAGGAGAAAUGGACGUACUUCGCACCACACACAGUUAAAACUAUGGAAUUCAUAAUCAGAGCAUAAAAGGGUGGCCACCAACUCAGAUGGCUUUAAAUGGGGAUUAGACCAAUGAAUGGAGAAUAAAGCUAUCAGUGGCUUCUAGCGGUGCUGGCUGUUUAUUACCUCCAAUACUGGAGGCAGCAUGUCUUUGUAUUUCAGCUUCUGGGGAGCACAGACAGUAGAGUGCUGUUAUCACACUCCUGUCCUGCUUGUGGGCUUCCUGAAGCAUCUUGUUGACCACUGUGCAAAACAGGACACUGGACUGAGUAGGCCUCUUCUUGUGUUCUCAGUGUCCAAUGGGGAGGAAUGGAUCAACAUGAGAAGGAAGUGUGAACCAGGAAGUCCUCCUCCCCAUGGCAUAGCCUGGUACAAACUGGGAGGCCACACACCUGCUUUUACAAGGAGAAAUUGAAUUGGGAGCUCCCAAGAUAGUGUACUGAAUAAAUCCGCUUUUAUUGUGUCAAAAACAGAGACCCUUGGUUCAUUGGUCCAUGUGGCUCAGUACUGUCUACACUGAUCAUCAGAGGAUCUUUGGGGCUUUAGACAGGGAUCUCACUGGAGAGUGAACAUAUCUCUGAGCUAUGGGCCUCUCCUGCCCGCCCACCACCAAAUAUUCAUGGGUAAAUUCAUUAUGUAGAGCUAUCGUCACUGUUAUCUGUUCCUAUGAAAUGAUGCUUCUUGCCACGAGAGAGGUUUGGGUUCUCCCCUCAUUGUCAGCACUUGCCUGGCAGAAGUAGAAAUGAGAAUUAACCCCUCCAGCCUGCCCAGCUGGGGGAAAAGAGUCAGAAUUCCUUGGCAGGCAAGCCACUUGUUUUCCACCUGUUUCUCUUGAAGGGAGUGCUGUGGCAAACAGGAUGAAUGGAAAAUAUUGUGGGAGGUUACUCAGAAAUUCCCACCCACCCACCAAUUUCAACAGGAAAUGCAGAGGCGUGAAUCAGAAUAUGGAGAAAGAGGAAGAAUGAGCUAACAGGCCGCAUGCACUGGGGGGGGGGGGGAGCUCUGGGUCUGAGAAGGAGAAACACACACACACAUCUGAACGAAAGAGAAAGGGAAUAAAAAUGAAACAUAUCUGGGGUAAAAUGAAGAUUCAGUAAGGCUGAGAUCUGAUCACACUUUCCCUGUACUAUGGAAUGUAAAUUCCAUAGUACAGUGGGACUUACUUAUGCGUUGCACAGAGGUUGCAUUUAAUGGCUGCAGACAGUUAUGCACCUGAAUAAGCAAGCAGAAUCUGAGUCCAAUGACAUAGUCCAGUCAAGCAAAAUCACAUGAGGGUGCAAAGCAGUAAGGAGUGUGGGCUGGGGAGGGUGUUUGGCCAGAUAGAGAGGUUUGGAUUUGGCAUUUGUCCCCUGGGGAUGAGGUUUCCCAUGUAAAAUGUGCCCUGUGUACCCCAGCUGUUGAGGGAGAGUUGAGGGGAGUGUGGGGCAGGAGCUGAAUUUGGCAGCUGUGGUGGUGCAGAGCUGGGAAGUCUGUGGCAGACUUCAGCAAAGGCCUGUGAGGACUGUCCACCUGCACUUCAAGAAAUUGUGCCUGGCCUGACAGAAGCGAGCAGCAGUAAAUCACAUUGAACAAUUUGGCGUUAACUCUUUAUUAGCAAAAACAGUGUCUGCACAGGAAUAUCAUGCCGAAUGAGUACACCAGUUCAUGUCUGACAGGUCUUGCCCCCAUGAAGCAGUUGCUGACGCUGAAGAUCCCCGCCUCCCCACAGCUGCCUAGGUCCAAGUAAUCUGAGACUGUACCUGCUUGAAGGCACUUCUCCUCUGCCCUCUUGAUGCCUCUCCUGGUUCUGGGAGACAAGUGAGGAGGGGAGCUCAUCGCAGCAGGAGGCAGAGACACCAGUAACUCUUCACCAGCCAGACUCUUCUCUUCAUCUUAUCCUUCCUCCUAUCCAGCUUCAGUGUCUGCCCCUCAUUCUAGACUGCUUUCUGCCACAGACUCCUCCCUGCUCACUAAGCCCUGUUACUUCUUCAGCUUCUGACACCUCCUCCCAGUCUUCUUCUCCCUCAGACCACUCAUCACUGUCCCACCACCAAUCCCUGGGCUCUGAGCCUUCUUCACUUGGUAGUUCCCCAGUUGGUGCCUUCUACCAUUCUUGUGUGUCCAAUCAGUCCAUCACACAACCCUACCAUUGGACAGAGUGAGGCAACCAUCUGAGGUGGUGGGUGCUUGGUGUUGAGGAUCAACAGCAAGGUGUCGGAGGACAGAGCAGUGUAUGCCAUGUGGGCCACAACAUGCCCUAACUUUCCUUAUCCUUGUCCUACUUUUGCCCUGCACUACACUGGCUCAUUUGAUGAGAUGGGAGAUGAAGGAUUAUAGUUGUAAACACAGGGAAGAAAAGUUAGAGCAAAAUGUGCAUUCACCACUAGGAAUACUCACUGAUUUUGUUUGGUCUGCAAUCCACACUUCCACUCAUCCCACUGCUUUCCUCCAGGAACACCACUAAAUCAGAACAAACAUCAAUCAGGUUUUCUAUGGAUUUUCGUUUGUUCCGAUUCAGCAGUAAAGAGCAAGCUUUCCCGGAGCAAACGAUAAACCCUGCACCUAGGAAGCACAGGACAAGUGGAAGUGUGGAUAAGCCCUUAGUAAACCAACCUGAUUCACGUUUUAAUACAAAGAUGGGAAUGCACUUGUCCUUUGCUUUUCAUAUUUCUCUGCCUUUUGCAGUGCAAUUCCCACCUUUAUUUGUCAUUUAAUGUGCAGGGUAAAAUGCCCCACAAAAUGUGUAUUUUAAUGAAAAGGCAUGUGUAUUCUAAAUGCUGACACAGAUUUAUUUCAUGUCAGAAUGGUAAAACUCCACGUAAAAGCAUUUGGAAAGCAGCGUUGGAGGCCAUAUAUAACUUUUGUUAAAAUAUAUUUCUAUGGAAGGAUGCAUAACAGUAAGGCACUGCAAUAACAGCAAUUCAUGAUGUUCCCCUUUAAAAUUAGGUAUUUAUUAUCAGAGAAACUUACCAGGAGGAUGCCAAUAUGAUUUCCCUAUUAUGCCUUUCUCUAGUAGGAUCCGGUUAUGACGGAAUGUGAAUUGUGUCGUCUAAACUGGGGGAGAACGUAGCAGAAUGAAGAGGAAACAGGAUAGAACAGACAUAUGAAUGAACACAUGUGGAACCGACGCAGACCAGAAGAAGACCGAUCUGUGUAUCUCCCCCCACUGUACACUUUGGAAACCCUUCAAAUGUGGUAUUUCCAGGAUGAAAAAAAAAGCCCUGUAUGUUAAAGCAUACCAGCAGUUGGAAACAGUCC